AACCUGCGAGCUUCAAGCCGGCUCCUCGCCGUCGGAACCAGCGAACAGUUUGCUUCCUGGUCAUAGGAACGCUGGGGAUCUUUGGUGUUGGUUGUCUGAUUGGGUAUUUGACUCAACCUAAGCCUAAACUGGCGCCUGUGCAAUGCGACAACAUACCCCAUGUGAGACAACGUCCAGCAGCGUGCCAGCUCCAGCAGCUGAGCUGGACUGGAAGGACCUCAUAGACAUGCUGUCGGAUAAACUCUCUGCUCAGCUCCUUCGACGAGACUCUGAAGGCCUUUGAACUUCCCCAGCGUUUAGCAGGCAGCGAGGAGGACAUGGAUGCCGCUAAUCAUAUCUUUGAACAAUUCAAACAGUUGGAGAUGGAGCCAUGGACUGAUGUCCACUACGUUCAGCUGCAGACACCAGACAGCAAUCAUCCAAACCGUGUUGUUUUUGGUUCAGACACCUUCCAGCCGGAAGG